UCAGACAAAAAAGCAUGAAAGACACUUCAAUACAGGAAGUAGUUUCAAGACCAUCUUCCAAAAGAAUGACCAGUCACACAACGAAAACCAGAAAGGCGGAUGAAACCAACACCACCAGCAGAUCCUCUGCACAAACAAAAUCUGAAGGAUUCCAUGACAUCUUGCCAAAGUCCUCAGACACCUUUAGACAAUAAGAGAAGAAGCAAACCUGUUUCUCCUCAUUUGGCCACUGGCUGCCAGUGAGUUCGUGUGAUGGGCACACAGAAAUGCACACAGAUGUACAUACACGUAUGUAUGCACACACAGUAUAUGAUUCCAUAAAAUUCAAAUGCAGAUUAAUUCUCCUAAUGAGUUUUCAGUGUUGAAUCGUAAAUAGUCUGAAGCAGGCCAGUGUUCCUUUUGGCUGCCAGUCUUGGAUUAGUAAAAGGAGGUAAUUCUUUCAGAUUCCCUGGUUCUUUGCCACUCAGAGUAUUGUACUUUUGAUAUAGAAUAGAGAAGGUUACCUUUGGUUUAAAAACUAUUUUUAUAUACUAGCUCUUUCAUGUAUAAAACAGAGACAAUCAUCCUAACAAAAGAGUUCCUGUUAUUUUUCUGCACAAAUGUCUUGUGUUGAAACACUGUUACAGUUCCAUAUAAAUGUGUGCUAUAUAAAAUAAACUUUGGAGAUAAAA
rnacentral:lncRNA from 1 species